rnacentral:rRNA from 1 species
AGAGUUUGAUCCUGGCUCAGAUUGAACGCUGGCGGCAUGCCUUACACAUGCAAGUCGAACGCGAAAGCGGGGCAACCCGCAAGUAGAGUGGCGAACGGGUGAGUAAUACAUCGGAACGUGUCCAGUAGCGGGGGAUAACCUCUCGAAAGAGAGGCUAAUACCGCAUACGUCCUACGGGAGAAAGAGGGGGAUCGCAAGACCUCUCACUAUUGGAGCGGCCGAUGUCGGAUUAGCUAAUUGGUGAGGUAAAAGCUCACCAAGGCGACGAUCCGUAGCUGGUCUGAGAGGACGGCCAGCCACACUGGAACUGAGACACGGUCCAGACUCCUACGGGAGGCAGCAGUGGGGAAUUUUGGACAAUGGGCGCAAGCCUGAUCCAGCCAUGCCGCGUGAGUGAAGAAGGCCUUCGGGUUGUAAAGCUCUUUCGGCGGGGACGAAACGGUCCGUGUUAACACCACGGAUCACUGACGGUACCCGCAGAAGAAGCACCGGCUAACUACGUGCCAGCAGCCGCGGUAAUACGUAGGGUGCAGGCGUUAAUCGGAAUUACUGGGCGUAAAGCGUGCGCAGGCGGUCUGCUAAGAGAGAUGUGAAAUCCCCGGGCUUAACCUGGGAACUGCGUUUCUAACUGGCAGGCUUGAGUGUGGCAGAGGGGGGUGGAAUUCCACGUGUAGCAGUGAAAUGCGUAGAGAUGUGGAGGAACACCGAUGGCGAAGGCAGCCCCCUGGGCUAACACUGACGCUCAUGCACGAAAGCGUGGGGAGCAAACAGGAUUAGAUACCCCGGUAGUCC